UAGUGGCGGACGGGUGAGUAACGCGUGGGUAACCUGCCUACGUACAGGGGGGAUAACACUUAGAAAUAGGUGCUAAUACCGCAUAAGCGCACGAAGCCGCAUGGAUUUGUGUGAAAAACUCCGGUGGUGUAAGAUGGACCCGCGUCUGAUUAGCUUGUUGGCGGGGUAACGGCCCACCAAGGCGACGAUCAGUAGCCGGCCUGAGAGGGUGGACGGCCACAUUGGGACUGAGACACGGCCCAAACUCCUACGGAAGGCAGCAG
rnacentral:rRNA from 1 species